rnacentral:lncRNA from 1 species
GUUUAUCAUCAGAAGACUUUUGGAAAAGUCACAUCACACCUACUUGCAUGUUGCAAUGAUGAAUCAAGACUCUGACCAAGAAAUGCAUCUCUUGAGAGUAAAAUUGAAUAACCAAGACUAGGAAGUGCGUCUCCUAAGAAUUAAAGUGAGGGAUUCUAACUAGAAAGUGCGUCUUCUAGAGAUACAAGUUUAAGUUAAAAAGUGUGCC